rnacentral:rRNA from 1 species
CUGCCAGUAGUCAUAUGCUUGUCUCAAAGAUUAAGCCAUGCAUGUCUAAGUACAUGCCGUAUUAAGGCGAAACCGCGAAUGGCUCAUUAAAUCAGUUAUGGUUCCUUGGAUCGUACCUUACUACUUGGAUAACUGUGGCAAUUCUAGAGCUAAUACAUGCAGCAGAGCUCCGACCUUCGGGAACGAGCGCUUUUAUUAGACCAAAACCAAUCGGGCCUCGUGUCCGUACUUUGUGGUGACUCUGUAUAACUUUGGGCUGAUCGCACGGGCUCGUCCCGGCGACGUAUCUUUCAAGUGUCUGCCUUAUCAACUGUCGAUGGUAGGUUACGCGCCUACCAUGGUCGUAACGGGUGACGGGGAAUCAGGGUUCGAUUCCGGAGAGGGAGCCUGAGAAACGGCUACCACAUCCAAGGAAGGCAGCAGGCGCGCAAAUUACCCACUCCCAGAACGGGGAGGUAGUGACGAAAAAUAACAAUACGGGACUCUUUUGAGACCCCGUAAUUGGAAUGAGUACACUCUAAAUCCUUUAACGAGGAUCCAUUGGAGAGCAAGUCUGGUGCCAGCAGUCGCGGUAAUUCCAGCUCCAAUAGCGUAUAUUAAAGUUGUUGCGGUUAAAAAGCUCGUAGUUGGAUCUCAGAUCCGGCCGGACGGUCCGCCUACCGGUGGUUACUGUUCGUUGCCGAUCGUUCAGGCGGUUAUUCUUGAUGAUCUUCACCGGUUGUCUCGGGUGACCGCCAAGUUUACUUUGAAAAAAUUAGAGUGCUCAAAGCAGGCGUGACGCCUGAAUAAUUGUGCAUGGAAUAAUGGAAUAGGACCUCGGUUCUAUUUUGUUGGUUUUCGGAACACGAGGUAAUGAUUAAGAGGGACAGACGGGGGCAUUCGUAUUGCGACGCUAGAGGUGAAAUUCUUGGACCGUCGCAAGACGAACUACUGCA